rnacentral:rRNA from 1 species
GAUGAACGCUGGCGGCGUGCCUAAUACAUGCAAGUCGAGCGAACGGACGAGAAGCUUGCUUCUCUGAUGUUAGCGGCGGACGGGUGAGUAACACGUGGAUAACCUACCUAUAAGACUGGGAUAACUUCGGGAAACCGGAGCUAAUACCGGAUAAUAUUUUGAACCGCAUGGUUCAAAAGUGAAAGACGGUCUUGCUGUCACUUAUAGAUGGAUCCGCGCUGCAUUAGCUAGUUGGUAGGGUAACGGCUUACCAAGGCAACGAUGCAUAGCCGACCUGAGAGGGUGAUCGGCCACACUGGAACUGAGACACGGUCCAGACUCCUACGGGAGGCAGCAGUAGGGAAUCUUCCGCAAUGGGCGAAAGCCUGACGGAGCAACGCCGCGUGAGUGAUGAAGGUCGUCGGAUCGUAAAACUCUGUUAUUAGGGAAGAACAUAUGUGUAAGUAACUGUGCACAUCGUGACGGUACCUAAUCAGAAAGCCACGGCUAACUACG